rnacentral:miRNA from 1 species
UCGCGUAUUUAAGGUUUCAAUC